rnacentral:rRNA from 1 species
GGAUUGCCCUAGUAACGGCGAGUGAAGCGGCAACAGCACAAAUUUGAAAUCUGGCUCUUUUAGNGUCCGAGUUGUAAUUUGCAGAGGGCGCUUUGGCGUUGGCAGCGGUCCAAGUUCCUUGGAACAGGACGUCACAGAGGGUGAGAAUCCCGUACGUGGUCGCUGGCCUUCGCCGUGUAAAGCCUCUUCGACGAGUCGAGUUGUUUGGGAAUGCAGCUCUAAAUGGGAGGUAAAUUUCUUCUAAAGCUAAAUACUGGCCAGAGACCGAUAGCGCACAAGUAGAGUGAUCGAAAGAUGAAAAGCACUUUGGAAAGAGAGUCAAAUAGCACGUGAAAUUGUUAAAAGGGAAGCGCUUGCAGCCAGACUUGCCCGUAGUUGCUCAUCCAGGCUUUUGCCUGUGCACUCUUCUAUGGGCAGGCCAGCAUCAGUUUGGGCGGUUGGAUAAAGGUCUCUGUCA